rnacentral:tRNA from 1 species
GGAGAGGUGGCUGAGUGGUUGAAAGCGGCGGUCUUGAAAACCGUUAUGGGUCGUAAGGUCCAUCGAGAGUUCGAAUCUCUCCCUCUCCG